AUGUUUUUUUUCCCUUCUCAUUCCCUCGGUUCUGCAGGCAGUCCCUGGAUGCUGCUAUAUGGUGAGAGCCUGGGACGAAGAACAAGUAGGAGGAGGAGGAGGCACGAUGACUUGACGAAGAAGGGCUCUGGCGUUCGUUCCCUACGCCAUGUUACAUCCUGGCCAGAAACGUGGACUCUCUUGGGAUUUCAUCGUCUCCUUUGAGAAAGAUGUUCGUGGUGGGGGCUCAGAGCAGUGUGAAUAACUACUACUGACGUAACUCACAAAACAGAUGAACGUGACACAUGAAGAGUGCUGAAUAUAUGAAUGCAUUUCUAUCCUAAUUUACAAUUACAUGUGGAAUUGUUGUAUUCAUUUGAUGGGUAUAGACUGUAAGUCAUGUCUCUGAUGGGUAUAGACUGUAAGUCAUGUCUCUUUGAUGGGUAUAGAUUUAAGUCAUGUCUGAUGAGUAUAGACUGUAAGUCAUGUCUCUUUGAUGCACGUUCAUAAGAUCUCAAAUGCUGAAAGAUCUUUUCGAAAAUACUCAUUGAUUGUAAAUGUUUUUUCCCCUCUUUUUGUUGCUGUCUUUAAUUUAGAGAUUAAUUCUGAUGGACCUUUAUAAAAUGGCACUAUAGUUGAUAAAUUAAGUUACAUCAUAUUCAUAAGCUAUCUAAGCAGGAUGAUAAAAACAAAUAGGCUACCUCUUAAUGAAUAACCCCUGUUUGAGUAAUAGCUUAUCAUCUGAAAAGAUAUAUUCAUGUAAGAAUAUUCUGUAAGUUUGCUAAUAUGCCAAAUAGGCUAUGUUACAAAAGUAAGAUAGAUGUCUGAAACGCCAGUUCAUCCAAGCCAUAACGUAGGCGCUACCUAUCACGUAUAUAUCGAAUGAUCUUCACUUCUGUCAAAGAAUGCAAAUGGUUGAAUGAUGACUUGUCAAAAGUCAAUCGUUUUUUCCUACUAAGCACCUUUUGCUGAGCACAUUACAUUGGUAAAAUGUUCUAAGGCAUUUGUGGUUUGUUCAUAUUUCAUGUUUAGUUACAUGUCGGUGCAGGCAUACAGCUAGUAGACUAUGGCGACAGCGGGGUGUCUUCAAGGCAAGAAUAGCCUAGGAUACACUGUUGUGAGACGCUCUGAACAUCAAAAUGCCCAACAACAAGUCUACAUUUUCCACAGUCGUGACAUCGCGCCAAGGAGACGCAUAUUCUCUCAAUAAUCAUGUUGGAGUUGUCAUUUUGGCUCACAAAUGUACAGUGCAACGGAAUAAAAUGUUAGAAAUUCACUGACUGUCUCUCUGUUUAUGUAAUCACACAUCUGCCCCGCCUCCUCUUCCGUGUUUCGAAAUUUACUCAGAGACAGAAGAGGAAGCGAGACAUCUCACUCUCUCAUUUUUUUCUGGUUCAUAUUCAACUGAGCAGACGAGACAGCUCCCAAUGCAUUGUUGCUAAUGAUAGACCCCUUAAGCAGACCGGAACUUAGUUUUUUUUUGUCACAGUUGUGGGAGUGCAACAUCUUUAUUUAUCCACCAUCUUCGAUUUACUAUGGCGAGACAGUAGUCUCGCGAAACAUGAGA
rnacentral:lncRNA from 8 species